UACGUAGGGAGCAAGCGUUGUCCGGAAUCAUUGGGCGUAAAGCGCGCGUAGGCGGCCUCAUAAGUCCGCUGUGAAAGUCCAAGGCUCAACCUUUGAAAGCCGGUGGAUACUGUGAGGCUAGAGUACGGAAGAGGCGAGUGGAAUUCCCGGUGUAGCGGUGGAAUGCGCAGAUAUCAGGAGGAACACCAAUAGCGAAGGCAGCUCGCUGGGACGUUACUGACGCUGAGGCGCGAAAGCGUGGGGAGCGAACAGG
rnacentral:rRNA from 1 species